rnacentral:rRNA from 1 species
UACCAGCUCUCCGAGUGGUAGGGAUGAUUAUUGGGCUUAAAGCGUCCGUAGCCGGCUUAGCAAGUCUCCUGUUAAAUUCAGCGACCUAAUCGUUGAGCCGCGGGAGAUACUACUAGGCUAGGAGGCGGGAGAGGUCAACGGUACUUCCGGGGUAGGGGUGAAAUCCUAUAAUCCCGGGAGGACCACCAGUGGCGAAGGCUGUUGACUAGAACGCGCUCGACGGUGAGGGACGAAAGCGUGGGGGAGCGAACCGGAUUAGAUACCCGGGUAGUCCCAGCUGUAAACGAUGCGAGCUAGGUGUUGGGGUGGCUACGUGCCACUUCAGUGCCGCAGGGAAGCCAUUAAGCUCGCCGCCUGGGGAGUACGGCCGCAAGGCUGAAACUUAAGGAAUUGGCGGGGAGCACCACAAGGCGUGAAGCUUGCGGUUC